rnacentral:rRNA from 1 species
AAAUUGAAGAGUUUGAUCAUGGCUCAGAUUGAACGCUGGCGGCAGGCCUAACACAUGCAAGUCGAGCGGAAACGAGUUAUCUGAACCUUCGGGGAACGAUAGCGGCGUCGAGCGGCGGACGGGUGAGUAAUGCCUAGGAAAUUGCCCUGAUGUGGGGGAUAACCAUUGGAAACGAUGGCUAAUACCGCAUGAUGCCUACGGGCCAAAGAGGGGGACCUUCGGGCCUCUCGCGUCAGGAUAUGCCUAGGUGGGAUUAGCUAGUUGGUGAGGUAAGGGCUCACCAAGGCGACGAUCCCUAGCUGGUCUGAGAGGAUGAUCAGCCACACUGGAACUGAGACACGGUCCAGACUCCUACGGGAGGCAGCAGUGGGGAAUAUUGCACAAUGGGCGCAAGCCUGAUGCAGCCAUGCCGCGUGUGUGAAGAAGGCCUUCGGGUUGUAAAGCACUUUCAGUCGUGAGGAAGGUAGUGUAGUUAAUAGCUGCAUCGUUUGACGUUAGCGACAGAAGAAGCACCGGCUAACUCCGUGCCAGCAGCCGCGGUAAUACGGAGGGUGCGAGCGUUAAUCGGAAUUACUGGGCGUAAAGCGCAUGCAGGUGGUUUGUUAAGUCAGAUGUGAAAGCCCGGGGCUCAACCUCGGAAUUGCAUUUGAAACUGGCAGACUAGAGUACUGUAGAGGGGGGUAGAAUUUCAGGUGUAGCGGUGAAAUGCGUAGAGAUCUGAAGGAAUACCGGUGGCGAAGGCGGCCCCCUGGACAGAUACUGACACUCAGAUGCGAAAGCGUGGGGAGCAAACAGGAUUAGAUACCCUGGUAGUCCACGCCGUAAACGAUGUCUACUUGGAGGUUGUGGCCUUGAGCCGUGGCUUUCGGAGCUAACGCGUUAAGUAGACCGCCUGGGGAGUACGGUCGCAAGAUUAAAACUCAAAUGAAUUGACGGGGGCCCGCACAAGCGGUGGAGCAUGUGGUUUAAUUCGAUGCAACGCGAAGAACCUUACCUACUCUUGACAUCCAGAGAACUUUCCAGAGAUGGAUUGGUGCCUUCGGGAACUCUGAGACAGGUGCUGCAUGGCUGUCGUCAGCUCGUGUUGUGAAAUGUUGGG